CACGUAGGGCGCAAGCGUUGUCCGGAAUUAUUGGGCGUAAAGAGCUCGUAGGCGGUCUGUUGCGUCCGCUGUGAAAACUCGGGGCUUAACCCCGAGCCUGCAGUGGAUACGGGCAGACUAGAGGUUGGUAGGGGAGAAUGGAAUUCCCGGUGUAGCGGUGAAAUGCGCAGAUAUCGGGAGGAACACCAAUGGCGAAGGCAGAUCUCUGGGCCGUAACUGACGCUGAGGAGCGAAAGCAUGGGGAGCGAACAGG
rnacentral:rRNA from 1 species